GAUGAACGCUGGCGGCGUGCCUAAUACAUGCAAGUCGAGCGAACGGACGAGAAGCUUGCUUUUCUGAUGUUAGCGGCGGACGGGUGAGUAACACGUGGAUAACCUACCUAUAAGACUGGGAUAACUUCGGGAAACCGGAGCUAAUACCUGAUAAUAUUUUGAACCGCAUGGUUCAUAAGUGAAAGACGGUCUUGCUGUCACUUAUAGAUGGAUCCGCGCUGCAUUAGCUAGUUGGUAAGGUAACGGCUUACCAAGGCAACGAUGCAUAGCCGACCUGAGAGGGUGAUCGGCCACACUGGAACUGAGACACGGUCCAGACUCCUACGGGAGGCAGCAGUAGGGAAUCUUCCGCAAUGGGCGAAAGCCUGACGGAGCAACGCCGCGUGAGUGAUGAAGGUCUUCGGAUCGUAAAACUCUGUUAUUAGGGAAGAACAUAUGUGUAAGUAACUGUGCACAUCUUGACGGUACCUAAUCAGAAAGCCACGGCUAACUACGUG
rnacentral:rRNA from 1 species